CAGCCGCCGCGGGAAUACGAAGGGUGCAAGCGUUACUCGGAAUUACUGGGCGUAAAGCGUGCGUAGGUGGUGGUUUAAGUCCGUUGUAAAAGCCCUGGGCUCAACCUGGGAAUUGCAGUGGAUACUGGGUCACUAGAGUGUGGUAGAGGAUAGUGGAAUUUCCGGUGUAGCAGUGAAAUGCGUAGAGAUCGGAAGGAACAUCUGUGGCGAAGGCGACUAUCUGGGCCAACACUGACACUGAGGCACGAAAGCGUGGGGAGCAAACAGGAUUAGAUACCCCCGUAGUCCCUGUCUCUUAUAC
rnacentral:rRNA from 1 species